rnacentral:rRNA from 1 species
CAGCAGUCGCCGCGGUAAAACGUAGGGUGCAAGCGUUAAUCGGAAUUACUGGGCGUAAAGCGUGCGCAGGCGGUUAUAUAAGACAGAUGUGAAAUCCCCGGGCUCAACCUGGGAACUGCAUUUGUGACUGUAUAGCUAGAGUACGGCAGAGGGGGAUGGAAUUCCGCGUGUAGCAGUGAAAUGCGUAGAUAUGCGGAGGAACACCGAUGGCGAAGGCAAUCCCCUGGGCCUGUACUGACGCUCAUGCACGAAAGCGUGGGGAGCAAACAGGAUUAGAUACCCCUGUAGUCCCUGUCUCUUAUAC